CAGUAGCCACGGGAAUACAGAGGGUGCAAGCGUUAAUCGGAAUUACUGGGCGUAAAGCAUGCGCAGGCGGUUCUAUAAGACAGAUGUGAAAUCCCCGGGCUCAACCUGGGAACUGCAUUUGUGACUGUAGAGCUGGAGUGCGGCAGAGGGGGAUGGAAUUCCGCGUGUAGCAGUGAAAUGCGUAGAUAUGCGGAGGAACACCGAUGGCGAAGGCAAUCCCCUGGGCCUGCACUGACGCUCAUGCACGAAAGCGUGGGGAGCAACCAGGAUUAGAUACCCGGGUAGUCCCUGUCUCUUAUAC
rnacentral:rRNA from 1 species